rnacentral:rRNA from 1 species
AGUAAAAGUCGUAACAAGGUC